rnacentral:lncRNA from 1 species
CGUUCUGUGGAAUGUUUUAAAUAACAAAUAUAUAAAGUCAGUAAUGAAUUUUUAAAGAAAUAUCAUAAAAAUCCUAUUUAAUCCUACUUUGAAAUUUAAGAAAAAGAAAGAUAAGUUCAAUGUAACCUUGCAUUUUCCUAAUCUUACACCCAUUGUCUCCCAUUUCUUAAACUUGCAGUGGUUGUCUCCCAUCUCUUAAACUUGCAAUAUUUGCCUAUUAUUUUUUUUUGGAGAACUUCAUAUUUAUAAAAUCAAAUUAAUGUUUAAUCACAAAACCAGAAAAAUAUUAUGGUCAAAUAUUUAAACAAAAUUGAAAAAUGGUCAAGUGAGUUGCUAGAAAUACAACCAUCAUGAAAAUAC